AUUAAGGAGCUCCCGGGACGUGAGAGGAUAACUGCACGGCUAUUCGUGUCACUAUCAGAGCGUACCUGGGCGAGCUGUCAGUAAUGAAGCUGUGAUUUCCCAGGCAGCCGCCGACGCUGCACGUCGGGACAAGCCGCGCCAUUAAGAUUAUCCGUCCACUCGCAGACACAACUGUUGUUUUCACAUGCGCCAAGUGGCUGAAAACAAACGUGAAAGCUGAUCUGGCCCGGCGAUGACUCCCACAGGUUUGAUAUGGAACUCAAGCGUGCUGCUGAUGUUUUUUUUUUUUUUUUUUAAAUGGCUUGAAUGGUGGCUAUCAGCUGUAGCCAUACGGAUAACAUGAGGAACUGGAUUUCUGUCUCUGAGGGGGUAUUUUUACGCAGAGUCGUCUUGUCGAAAUGCGUCGCUGGUGUCAUGCAAGUGUUGCCUCUUUUUUUUUUUUUUUUUUUUACCUCCCUCUCUCUCUCUCUUUUACCUGCUGAACACACCAGCAGUGAAUAACCUCACUGUCUGCCAUCCUUGCAGGCCCAUUCUGUCUGCUCAGACAGGAGCACUGCUGAAGAAAGAAAAACACUAAACGCACACAGAGAUAUAUAUUUUUUGUUCUACGCCAAGAAAACAAUCUGCAUGCUGCUUCGCUUUGCGGCACUUUCUGAGAUUAAAGGCUUUUCCUAAUGAUCGAUCCUGUCCCUUCUUCAGGGGGACUGCUGCUGUGGCACACUGUGUUAUUGUGAAGACAACCCAUUUGCGGUGUUGGCUCCAACUCUGCGCCAGUGCCUCCCCGUGCCUGUGGUUGCAUGAGUGGAUGGUGGCUCUCAAGCUCCGACACUGUGGACGAGCCCGUGACCCGUGGAGGUGGGAGAGAGAGGCGGCGCGGCCUGCAAC